rnacentral:hammerhead_ribozyme from 1 species
ACACUGCUAACGAGUCCCAAACAGGACGAAACAGCUGUUCAGUGC